GAUGAAGAACGCAGCAAAAUGCGAUAAGUAAUGUGAAUUGCAGAAUCCAGUGAAUCAUCGAAUCUUUGAACGCACAUUGCGCCCGCUGGUAUUCCGGCGGGCAUGCCUGUUCGAGCGUCAUUUCAACCCUCAAGCCCCCGGGUUUGGUGUUGGGGAUCGGCUCUGCCCUUCUGGGCGGUGCCGCCCCCGAAAUACAUUGGCGGUCUCGCUGCAGCCUCCAUUGCGUAGUAGCUAACACCUCGCAACUGGAACGCGGCGCGGCCAUGCCGUAAAACCCCAACUUCUGAAUGUUGACCUCGGAUCAGGUAGGAAUACCCGCUGAACUUAAGCAUAUCAAUAAGCGGAGGA
rnacentral:misc_RNA from 1 species